CAGGCGCGCAAAUUACCCACUCCCAGCACGGGGAGGUAGUGACGAUAAAUAACGAUACGGGACUCAUCCGAGGCCCCGUAAUCGGAAUGAGUACACUUUAAAACUUUUUCCGAGGAUCAAUUGGAGGGUAAGUCUGGUGCCAGCAACCGCGGUAAGACCAGCUCCAAUAGCGUAUAUUAAAAUUGUUGCGGUUAAAAAGCUCGUAGUCGAAUCUGUGUCCCGCGCCGUUGGUUCAUCGCUCGCGGUGUUCAACUGGCGUGUCGCGGGACGUCCUGCCGGUGGUCACUCGUACCCUUCGCGGUGCGAGUCCCAGCUCGUAGCCGCCUUGCGCGGUUGCGAAUCCCAUCGCGGUGCUCUUUAUUGAGUGUCGAGGUGGGCCGGCACGUUUACUUUGAACAAAUUAGAGUGCUUAAAGCAGGCCAAUGUUGCCUGAAUAUUGUGUGCAUGGAAUAAUGGAAUAGGACCUCGGUUCUAUUUUGUUGGUUUUCGGAACCCCGAGGUAAUGAUUAAUAGGAACGGAUGGGGGCAUUCGUAUUGCGACGUUAGAGGUGAAAUUCUUGGAUCGUCGCAAGACGGACUGAAGCGAAAGCGUUUGCCAAAAACGUUUUCAUUGAUCAAGAACGAAAGUUAGAGGCUCGAAGGCGAUCAGAUACCGCCCUAGUUCUAACCAUAAACGAUGCCAGCUAGCGAUCCGCCGACGUUCCUCCGAUGACUCGGCGGGCAGCUUCCGGGAAACCAAAGCUUUUGGGUUCCGGGGGAAGUAUGGUUGCAAAGCUGAAACUUAAAGGAAUUGACGGAAGGGCACCACCAGGAGUGGAGCCUGCGGCUUAAUUUGACUCAACACGGGAAACCUCACCAGGCCCGGACACCGGAAGGAUUGACAGAUUGAUAGCUCUUUCUUGAUUUGGUGGGUGGUGGUGCAUGGCCGUUC
rnacentral:rRNA from 1 species